CAACAGUGGAGGGAUCGUUACGUGCUGUUGGUAGUUUGAGGAACUCUGAUUUCGGAGUGAACAAUAGUAGGAGCAGCAGUAAUAAUAAUAAUGGACUUUUGACCGAGGAUGAGAUUCGUUCACACCCUGCUUAUCUUUCCUAUUAUUACUCACAUGAGAAUAUAAAUCCUAGACUACCUCCACCAUUGUUGUCGAAAGAAGAUUGGCGUGUUGCUCAAAGGUUUCAAGCUGGGGGAUGUUCAUUAGAGGGAUUCGGAGACUGGAGGAAGGUGGCCACAAAUGGUGAUAGUUCAUCACUAUUUUCGAUGCAGCCUGGAUUUUCUGUGCAACAGGCAGAGAAUGAUUUGAUGGAACUGAGGAAAGCCAGUGGACAGAAUCUCUCUAGGGAAAGUUCAUAUCAGUUGCUUGAUGGGCAUAUGGGUGGUUUGGAAAGAAUGUCAGGACCUGGUCUUGGUGCAAAGAGGGCAUCUUUUGCUAGCAUUCUUCAGGUAAUUAAUUAUUCGAUUGCAUGUGUGGUAUUUUUUGGUUCUAGAUGAGACAUUUUCUGUGCCAUUAACUGAUGAUGGGUUACUUUUUUGCAACUUCAUUUUGACAUAAAGCAGAUCGUAAAGGUUGAUUUACUAUCAUAGUAUCAGUUUUAUGUUAUCUUCUAGUAAUAUUUACAAGUUGUUGGUAUGUUAUGAUUGUUAAAAAAGUUUGACUGUAUGGCAUGAAAUAUAGGUGCCCGGUUUGAUUUCAUCUUAUCGUUCAAUCUCUGGCGUUGAUCAUAACCAUCCACUAACGCAAAAAAUGCUUGUCACUUAAAUGAUUUAAGCCGAUAAACUGAUAGAGCAUAUCCUGCUAUUUUCUUCCUGUUCUGAUAUUCUGUUAAACUUAUAACUGAAGUUAGCAUUUUAGCAGGAAGGACUUGAUCAACCUGUUUCCCUAUCAAACAAUCUGUCACGUCCAACAAGUCGCAAUGCAUGUGGUGAUAUCAUGGAUUCAACUGGUAUUGUCGACCGCGAGUCGUUCGAGGGCUUGCGUUCUUCAGCUUCUACUCCCGGUUUGGUCGGACUUCAGAACCAUGGUGUAAAUGUUUCUAAUAGUUUUGCGUCUGCUGUGGGUACUUCUUUGUCGAGGGUUCCAACCCCUGAACCACAGGUUAUUGGAAGAUCUUUCGGAUCUUCAGUUCCUCUCGUGGGGAGUCAAGUUUUCUCUGUUGAGAAAAGUGGUAUUGGCUUGGGCAUCCCAAAUGGCCACUCUUCCAGUAUGUCUGAUAUUGCUGGCAUGGCAUCUUCUUUAUCAGGGUUAAAUUUGUCUGGUGUUAGACAUGCAGGGCAAGAUAGUCUUUUGAAAUCUAAGCUACCAAUGGGACUUGGUAAUCAUGCUGAUACUCUGUUAAGCACACAGAGCAAUUUUAAUUUGCCUGGACAUAAUGGGAUUGCAACAAACCUUAACACAUUUAGUUCAAAUGAUCAAGUCAAUCUACUGAAAAAAACUGCUUCUUCUGCUAGUCUUCGCUCAAAAGUGAAUUCUUCUGUAAAUGCAGCAAGUCCAAAUAUAGACUUCGCUGGCCAUGUUCCUGGUGCAUAUCUUGGGAACUCAAAAAUGAAUGCUGUGUACAACAGUCAUCUCGAGACAGGUUCUCUCUCUCUCUGACUCUGUGUUUGUGUGUGCACGUGCAAUGUGCAUGUGAAUUAAUUUAUGCUCAGUGCAGUUUAGUGCUGAAUGUUAGUGUUGACAAUUUGGUUUUUGAAUUGCAGCUUUGAGGGGUCGCAGAGAUGGGCAAAUUUUUGAUGAACUAGGAAAUCAAGUUGGUUCUAACCUUCAUUCCCCAGCACUGGACCCACGCUUCAUCCAAAGCUUGCAGCGAAACUCUAAUUACUUGAUGCAUGGGAUGAGUGGUUCUGGUGAUCCUUCUCAAAUGAGAAAUUUCUCUGAUACUUCACAUGGAGAUUUAGAGGGAUUUCGGGAAGCAUAUAUUGAGAUGCUUCGUGCUCAACAAAAGCAUCAGUAUGAGCUCCCACUUCUGAGCAAAUCUGGGCUUCUUAAUAAUGGAUACUUGGGGAAUCAGCCAUAUGGUCUUGGCAUGCCAUAUUCAGGAAAUCAGAUUGCAAAUUCUUCACAUCCUUCUCUUGGAUCUGGAAAUCCAAUGUUUGAGAAUCAACACAUAUCACACUUUAACUCUAUGAUGAGAAGUUCAAUGGGAGGUUCUGGAGGCUCAUGGCAUGCUGAUACUGGCAAUAACCUGGAGGGAAAAUUUGCUGCAUCCUUAUUAGAUGAGUUCAAGAACAACAAGGCUAGACUUUUUGAACUUUCAGAUAUUGUUGAUCAUGUGGUUCAGUUCAGGUAUGAAUCUCUCACCUCCGCUGUUGUUGCUAGUGACAUUGCUCUGAAAAUAUGACUUGAUAAUCUGUGCCAUAAUGCAGUACGGAUCAGUAUGGUAGCCGCUUUAUUCAGCAGAAAUUAGAAAUUGCCUCAGUAGAAGAGAAGGCCAAGAUAUUUCCCGAGAUUGUUCCUCAUGCUCAUGCCUUGAUGACUGAUGUUUUUGGCAAUUAUGUUAUACAGAAAGUAUAAUUUUCUUCUUCUAAUACUGAGUCUUUUCAUAAAUAUGCUCUUUUUUUAUUCGGUCACUGAAAUUAGAUUGCCAUGCUUGACAUUGCAGUUUUUUGAGCAUGGUACCGAAAGUCAAAGGAAGGAAUUAGCCUGCCAACUUACAGGUCAUAUUUUACCUCUUAGUUUGCAGAUGUAUGGUUGCAGAGUGAUUCAGAAGGUACCUUCUAAGCUAUCAUAUUAUUCCCUAUUCAUGUGCAUUAUCUCUAGCCUAGCCUAAAAUUUGAAGAAAAAAGAAUAAAUUUUUUGCAAUGAAUGGUUUUUUUGGGGUCAAACCUUGGUGCUCUGCUUAUAGUUACAGGUGGCCUCUUUGUUUCAUACCAGUACUGAAAAUUUAAGUAAAUAAUGGAACACAUAUUCUUUUGUAAUGCUUUCCACUUUCUGCAUUACUUAAAGUUUGUUAUUUUUAUUGUCAAGGUGUACCAUAUCAAACUAAUCAGCUUCUCGUGUUUAUACUAUAGCAUUAGGUUUUAAAUUUUAACUUGAUUGUUCUUAUAUGGUUUAGGUCAGUAGUUAAAACUAUUACUGUUACAAGGCUUAAACUGUUAAGAANNNNNNNNNNNNNNNNNNNNNNNNNNNNNNNNNNNNNNNNNNNNNNNNNNNNNNNNNNNNNNNNNNNNNNNNNNNNNNNNNNNNNNNNNNNNNNNNNNNNACAUAAAAUUGGAGUCUCAGACAUUGAAAUAUCUUUUAUCCAUGUUUGAUAUGAUGUUAAUACGAUUUCAUGACUUGACAAACAAGAAAUAGUAUAAUUAGCCUUCAAAAUUUGGAUCAUAGUAUAUUAUAUAUAUAUUUAAAACAUGUGUAUGUCACCAUAAUGACUAUUUGUUUUUUCAUCAAACAUGUCAUAUGAUAGAGUUGUAGGUAGUAUGCAUAUUUUUAAAACAAUUCUGGUGUGAGCACAGUCCCUAGCCAUCAUUUUUAGAUUUAAAUUAAGGGAAUAUUAUUAUUUUCAUGUAACACAAAUUUAUUUUAGUAAUACAUGACUGAGUUAAAAAUGUAUUAACAGACUUCAUGAAAGUAGAUAUAAUACUUAACAUAAUAGUUGAGUUAAUUACUUUUGAUUCCAACCGGACAUCAUGUGAAAAAUAUAUUUGGCUUGUGCCAAAAAUAAAUAUAAUGUAAAAAGUUAGGGUAAAGAUUCACAAAUCAAUAUAUUAUUUACUACUCAUUUAAAUUACUUUUUCGAACAGCUCAUAAUGAUUAAAUAUAAAUUAGGGAUGAUAUAUAUUAUAAUAGUGUAUAAAAUAAAAUAUAAAACUAUGUGCAAUUGUAUACAUAUUUUUCCCAAAUAAUAUAUAAUAUUUGAUGUGUGAAUGUAAUAACCCUAGAGAACACAGUUAAUGCACGUACCCAUGACCCACUCAGGCCCACGCCGUCUCUUUCCUCAUUCACUCUGCAAAAUUAAAAAUAAUAUAUUUAUUCUUUUCUCUAAUCCUUCUUUUUUCGGAUUUCCAACCCAAAACAAAAAUCAGUAAUAGCAUCUUCCUCAUCCUCAAUUCAAUUCAAAAGGGUAGCUUUCAUUGUUCUUUGUUUUUUCAAUAUCCUCUAUUUUUUCAGUAAUGUUCCUGGUUUUCCUUUUUACGUGAUUUUUAUUGAAAUGUGCAAAAUUCAUGUAUUGAUUUGCGCGUGAAUUGUUACAACGGGUUGUGAUAUCUUCUCUCGGUAAUGGGUUUGUUUAUUUUGAUUUCAGAAAGGAUCAAAUUUUGGGUUUUUUUGUAUUGAUGUGAAGGUUCCUUUUCAGCUGUGGAGUCCAAGGUAUGACAAAAGAUUCUUUUUUCUUCUCUUCCCUUGUAAUUGAAUUUUGUUUUUUGAGUUAGGAUGUGUUAUGGUGCCGUUUGAUCCAUGUAGCCGACCUAUUUACUGGGAUUAAGGUUUGGUUGUUGUAGUUUGGAUGUGUUAUCUUGAGGUAAAAGGGUACUCAGAAGAAAAAGAAUUAAGAUACUGAAAAACGUGUUUAUGUAUUUCAAGUCUAUUCUAGGUGGAAUUUUAACUUUUGGAUGUUAUAGUGAAAGAGAAGGAAUCAUCAUUUAUUUUUAUCCUUUUUCAUAUCAAUGAGAAAGUGGAUUACGGUGUGGGUUUUAUUCUUUUUAUUUAACUUUUAUUUUAUGGUUUUGUUUUGUUCAACUAAUGGAAAUUUUUUUGGUGGCAUUUCUAUUUUAGGUGACUUAUAGUUUUCAGAUGGCCCGUGCGAGUAAGGUUGAUAUGCAAAUUUCAGAUAACGGAUUGGAGCAUUUGCCGAAUGGGAAUGUUGAAGACUCUAUGCAGAAUGAGCUGGAAAGGAUGUUGCGAGAGCAGCAGAGUCAGCAGUUUAUCAAUCAAGAAAGGGAUCUCAAUAUGUAUAGGAGUGGAAGUGCUCCUCCAACAGUGGAGGGAUCGUUACGUGCUGUUGGUAGUUUGAGGAACUCUGAUUUCGGAGUGAACAAUAGUAGGAGCAGCAGUAAUAAUAAUAAUGGACUUUUGACCGAGGAUGAGAUUCGUUCACACCCUGCUUAUCUUUCCUAUUAUUACUCACAUGAGAAUAUAAAUCCUAGACUACCUCCACCAUUGUUGUCGAAAGAAGAUUGGCGUGUUGCUCAAAGGUUUCAAGCUGGGGGAUGUUCAUUAGAGGGAUUCGGAGACUGGAGGAAGGUGGCCACAAAUGGUGAUAGUUCAUCACUAUUUUCGAUGCAGCCUG
rnacentral:lncRNA from 1 species